rnacentral:rRNA from 1 species
AUUGAACGCUGGCGGCAGGCCUAACACAUGCAAGUCGAACGAGUGGGGCACGGGUGAGUAAUGUGGGGGACACUGCCAGGUGGGGGGGGAUCAACACUGGAAGGGAUAGCAUAUACCGCAUCACAUCGUAUGUGCCCAGAUGGGUUUAGCUUGUGGGUGGGGUAAAGGCUCACCCAGGCGAAGAUCCCUAGCUGGUCUGAGAGGAUGACCAGCCACACUGGAACUGAGACACGGUUCCGACGCCUACGGGAGGGAGCAGUGGGGAAUAUUGCACAAUGGGCGCAAGCCCUAUGCAGCCAUGCCGCGUGUAUUAAGAAGGCCUUCGGGUUUUAAAGUACUUUCAGCGAGGAGGCGGUACUCCCAGAAGAAGGACCGGCUAACUCCGUGCCAGCCGCCGCGGUAAUAC